rnacentral:rRNA from 1 species
GAUGAACGCUAGCGGCAGGCUUAAUACAUGCAAGUCGAGGGGCAGCAGGGGUGUAGCAAUACAUCUGCUGGCGACCGGCAAACGGGUGCGGAACACGUACGCAACUUACCCAUAACUGGGGGAUAGCCCGGGGAAACCCGGAUUAAUACCUCGUAAGAUAAUGGAGUGGCAUCACUUUAUUAUUAUAGCUCCGGCGGUUAUGGAUGGGCGUGCGGCUGAUUAGGUAGUUGGGCGGGUAACGGCCCACCAAGCCUGCGAUCAGUAACUGGUGUGAGAGCACGACCAGUCACACGGGCACUGAGACACGGGCCCGGACUCCUACGGGAGGCAGCAGUAAGGAAUAUUGGUCAAUGGACGCAAGUCUGAACCAGCCAUGCCGCGUGAAGGAUGAAGGUCCU